AUUGAACGCUGGCGGCAGGCCUAACACAUGCAAGUCGAGCGGGGUUUUCGGACCUAGCGGCGGACGGGUGAGUAAUGCGUAGGAAGCUACCCGAUAGAGGGAUACCAGUUGGAAACGACUGUUAAUACCGCAUAAUGUCUACGGACCAAAGUGUGGGACCUUCGGGCCACAUGCUAUCGGAUGCGCCUACGUGGGAUUAGCUAGUUGGUGAGGUAAUGGCUCACCGAGGCGACGAUCCCUAGCUGGUUUGAGAGGAUGAUCAGCCACACCGGAACUGAGACACGGUCCAGACUCCUACGGGAGGCAGCAGUGGGGAAUAUUGGACAAUGGGCGCAAGCCUGAUCCAGCCAUGCCGCGUGUGUGAAGAAGGCCUUCGGGUUGUAAAGCACUUUCAGUAGGGAGGAAGCGUUGUGUGUUAAUAGUACACAGCGUUGACGUUACCUACAGAAGAAGCACCGGCUAACUCUGUGCCAGCCGCCGCAGUAA
rnacentral:rRNA from 1 species